rnacentral:lncRNA from 1 species
GGCGGCAGAGGCGCGAUCUGUUGUGGCGGAUCAGCAGGGCACGGUGGUGGCGCAACAAGGCAGAGACUGUGCUGCUGCCGUGUGCUGCGCAAUCUGGCAGAGGGCGGAGCUACUGGCAGUGGCGCGCGAAGGAGCAGGGAGGCGGUGCAAACGGGGCGCUGGAGAUAAAAAAAAAAAGGAAUUUUCUAGAUGGUUUGGGUCAAACCGGUUCGAUUCGGUUUGAUUCGACCCAAAUCUUUGGUUUUCAUUUGGUUUUCGGCUUUUUCAAUCGGUUUUCAGUUCGAUUUCUC